UACGUAGGGUGCAAGCGUUAAUCGGAAUUACUGGGCGUAAAGCGUGCGCAGGCGGCUAUGCAAGACAGAUGUGAAAUCCCCGGGCUCAACCUGGGAACUGCAUUUGUGACUGCAUGGCUAGAGUACGGCAGAGGGGGAUGGAAUUCCGCGUGUAGCAGUGAAAUGCGUAGAUAUGCGGAGGAACACCGAUGGCGAAGGCAAUCCCCUGGGCCAAGAUUGACGCUCAUGCACGAAAGCGUGGGGAGCAAACAGG
rnacentral:rRNA from 1 species